rnacentral:rRNA from 1 species
CCUACGGGAGGCAGCAGUGGGGAAUAUUGCACAAUGGGCGCAAGCCUGAUGCAGCGACGCCGCGUGCGGGAUGACGGCCUUCGGGUUGUAAACCGCUUUUGAUUGGGAGCAAGCCUUCGGGUGAGUGUACCUUUCGAAUAAGCACCGGCUAACUACGUGCCAGCAGCCGCGGUAAUACGUAGGGUGCAAGCGUUAUCCGGAAUUAUUGGGCGUAAAGGGCUCGUAGGCGGUUCGUCGCGUCCGGUGUGAAAGUCCAUCGCUUAACGGUGGAUCUGCGCCGGGUACGGGCGGGCUGGAGUGCGGUAGGGGAGACUGGAAUUCCCGGUGUAACGGUGGAAUGUGUAGAUAUCGGGAAGAACACCAAUGGCGAAGGCAGGUCUCUGGGCCGUUACUGACGCUGAGGAGCGAAAGCGUGGGGAGCGAACAGGAUUAGAUACCCUGGUAGUCCACGCCGUAAACGGUGGAUGCUGGAUGUGGGGCCCGUUCCACGGGUUCCGUGUCGGAGCUAACGCGUUAAGCAUCCCGCCUGGGGAGUACGGCCGCAAGGCUAAAACUCAAAGAAAUUGACGGGGGCCCGCACAAGCGGCGGAGCAUGCGGAUUAAUUCGAUGCAACGCGAAGAACCUUACCUGGGCUUGACAUGUUCCCGACAGCCGUAGAGAUAUGGCCUCCCUUCGGGGCGGGUUCACAGGUGGUGCAUGGUCGUCGUCAGCUCGUGUCGUGAGAUGUUGGGUUAAGUCCCGCAACGAGCGCAACCCUCGCCCUGUGUUGCCAGCACGUCAUGGUGGGAACUCACGGGGGACCGCCGGGGUCAACUCGGAGGAAGGUGGGGAUGACGUCAGAUCAUCAUGCCCCUUACGUCCAGGGCUUCACGCAUGCUACAAUGGCCGGUACAACGGGAUGCGACACGGCGACGUGGAGCGGAUCCCUGAAAACCGGUCUCAGUUCGGAUUGGAGUCUGCAACCCGACUCCAUGAAGGCGGAGUCGCUAGUAAUCGCGGAUCAGCAACGCCGCGGUGAAUGCGUUCCCGGGCCUUGUACACACCGCCCGUCAAGUCAUGAAAGUGGGUAGCACCCGAAGCCGGUGGCCUAACCCUUUGUGGAUGGAGCCGUCUAAGGUGAGACUCGUGAUUGGGACUAAGUCGUAACAAGGUAGCCGUACCGGAAGGUGCGGCUG